rnacentral:misc_RNA from 1 species
AAGGAGCAUCUAGACUGCCAAGCUUGCUUGGUGGUCCAAGAGCCAUAACGUCGGCAAAUGUUCGACGGUGGUUAGCUCAUGGGUGGAACGUUGACUAUUCGGCACGAUCGGUUAGGGACUGUAAGUACCGCUUCGGCGUGGAAAACAGGUUCUUGAUUGGUCGGGCCGGGCACGCUGUUGGGUAUCUGAGGGUACGGACUUGUUCCCGACCUCAAUGCCGACCCCGGUGAAGCAUCCUGGUAAGGGUGUGUGACGGGUGGUUGGUCGUUGUUUGAGAACUGCACAGUGGACGCGAGCAUCUGU